rnacentral:rRNA from 1 species
GGGCCUACGGGACGCAGCAGUGGGGAAUAUUGCACAAUGGGGGAAACCCUGAUGCAGCGACGCCGCGUGGGUGAAGAAGUACUUCGGUACGUAAAGCCCUAUCAGCAGGGAAGAAAAUGACGGUACCUGAUUAAGAAGCCCCGGCUAACUACGUGCCAGCAGCCGCGGUAAUACGUAGGGGGCAAGCGUUAUCCGGAUUUACUGGGUGUAAAGGGAGCGUAGACGGCAUUACAAGUACGGAGUGAAAGCCCACGGUCCAACCGUGGGACUGCUAUGGAAAAUGUAGAGAUGGAGUGCG